rnacentral:rRNA from 1 species
AACGAACGCUGGCGGCAGGCUUAACACAUGCAAGUCGAACGCACCGCAAGGUGAGUGGCAGACGGGUGAGUAACACGUGGGGAUCUGCCCAAUGGUACGGAAUAGCUCCGGGAAACUGGAAUUAAUACCGUAUGUGCCCUUCGGGGGAAAGAUUUAUCGCCAUUGGAUGAACCCGCGUCGGAUUAGCUAGUUGGUGAGGUAAAGGCUCACCAAGGCGACGAUCCGUAGCUGGUCUGAGAGGAUGAUCAGCCACACUGGGACUGAGACACGGCCCAGACUCCUACGGGAGGCAGCAGUGGGGAAUAUUGGACAAUGGGCGCAAGCCUGAUCCAGCCAUGCCGCGUGAGUGAUGAAGGCCUUAGGGUUGUAAAGCUCUUUCGCCGACGAAGAUAAUGACGGUAGUCGGAGAAGAAGCCCCGGCUAACUUCGUGCCAGCCGCCGCGGUAACAC